rnacentral:rRNA from 1 species
GAAGAAGAUACUAAGGGCGCACGGCGGAUGCCUUGGCACAGGAAGUCGAAGAAGGACGCGGCAAGCUGCGAUAAGCUCCGGGGAGGCGCAAACGGCCUUCGAUCCGGAGAUCUCCGAAUGGGGGAACCCAGCAGGGGUCAUGCCCUGCUACCCGCGCCUGAAUGAAAUAGGGCGCGAGGAGGCAACCCGGGGAACUGAAACAUCUAAGUACCCGGAGGAAGAGAAAUCAACCGAGAUUGCGGGAGUAGCGGCGAGCGAAACCGCACCAGCCCAAACCCAUGCACGUGCAAGCUUGAGGGCGUUGCUGCAUGAGGGGUUGUGGGACCGCGCAUUCCAUGGGCCUCAGACCAUGGACGCAGUUACAAAUCCGCGCGGAAGCGGAACGGCCUGGGAAGGCCGGCGGAACAGGGUGAGAGCCCCGUACGCGAAUCCGCGCGGACUGCGAGUGCGGCACCCGAGUAGCGCCGGGCACGUGAAACCCGGUGCGAACCUGGGGGGACCACCCUCCAAGGCUGAACACUCUCCUGUGACCGAUAGCGAACCAGUACCGUGAGGGAAAGGUGAAAAGCACCCCGAGAGGGGAGUGAAACAGUACCUGAAACCGUGCGCCUACAAGCAGUCGGAGCCCCCGAGCGGGGUGACGGCGUGCCUUUUGUAGAAUGAGCCAGCGAGUUGCGGUAUGCGGCGAGGUUAAGGUUUGAACCGAGCCGCAGUGAAAGCGAGCCUUUAAGAUGGCGUAUGAGUCGCAUGCUGCAGACGCGAAGCCGGGUGAGCUAUCCAUGGGCAGGCUGAAGCGGGGGUAAGACCCCGUGGAGGGCCGAACCCACUUCGGUUGAAAACGGAGGGGAUGACCCGUGGAUAGGGGUGAAAGGCCAAUCAAACCCGGAGAUAUCUCGUUCUCCCCGAAAUAGCUUUAGGGCUAGCCUCGGCCGUUCUCCGACGGCGGUAGAGCACUGGAUCGUCGAGGGGGCUUCACCGCCUACCGACACGAACCAAACUCCGAAUGCCGCCGGAUCAGAGGCCGGGAGUCAGAACAUGUGGGCUAAGCUGUGUGUUCGAGAGGGAAACAGCCCAGACCGCCCGCUAAGGUCCCCAAGUUUAUGCUGAGUGGCAAAGGAUGUGCGUUUGCCUAGACAACCAGGAUGUUGGCUUAGAAGCAGCCAUGCAUUUAAAGAGUGCGUAACAGCUCACUGGUCAAGUGGACAUGCGCCGACAAUUCACGGGGCUAAGCAUAACACCGAAGCGGCGGACUAAUCUAUAUUAGUGGUAGGGGAGCUUUCCCCGCAGCGGAGAAGCCGAGAGGGCGACCCUCGGUGGAGCGCGGGGAAGUGAGAAUGCUGGCAUGAGUAACGAGAGCGGCGCGAGAAACGCCGCCGCCGUAAGCCUAAGGGUUCCUGGGCAAGGCUAAUCCUCCCAGGGUCAGUCGGGAGCUAAGGCGAGGCCGAGAGGCGUAGCCGAUGCGCAACAGGCGGACAUUCCUGUACCGCCUGCGGACCGCUAUCACCGACGGGGUGACGGAGAAGGGUAGCCGAGCGGGGUUCUGGACGUCCCCGUGAAAGCGCGUAGGG